UGCUAUAGGAAGCCCAAGAUGUUCUCUUUUUCUGUAUCUCCUCUCUGCUAUAGCCUAUCUAUUUUAUUCUGAACAUCUUUAUUCCACACAUCUUUAUUCCACAGCUAUACUGUCCAAUAUGAUAGUCACAAGGAACAUGCGGCUUUUUAAAUUUAAUAAAAUUCAGUUCUUCAGUCACAUUAAAGAUAUUGCAAAUAUUAAAUAGCUACAUAUGGCUACUGUGUUGGACACUGUAGAUAUAGCACACCUCCAUCAUUGUAGAUAGUUCUUUUGGACAGCACUGGAUUAUAGGAUUACCAGAGAUCAAGGUAAACUUCCCUUGAAGUUGAAGGUAAACUUCCAUUUAACCAUUAGGACACCUCAGCUGUAUCACUCCCUUUUAAGGCCUAUAUUUAGUUUUGAAUUUAUAAUUUUUUAUCAUUUUUCUUAGGGACUGAUAUCACCAGUGACCUCUAGGGAAAGGAUUAGUAGUGAGGAGAAACAUUAUUUUGUAUUGUUUGAAUGUAAAUACAUCCAUGUACAAACUGCAUAAUAUUUUUUAAGGUAUUGGAGUUUUGUAUUGCUCAUCAUUGUAUCCAAACACCCAGUAUAGUACCUUAACAGGUAAUGUUAGGA
rnacentral:lncRNA from 1 species